rnacentral:rRNA from 1 species
UACAGAGGUCUCUAGCGUUGUUCGGAUUCAUUGGGCGUAAAGGGUGUGUAGGUGGCGUCGUAAGUCGGGUGUGAAAUUUCGGAGCUUAACUCCGAAACUGCAUUCGAUACUGCGGUGCUUGAGGACUGGAGAGGAGACUGGAAUUCAUGGUGUAGCAGUGAAAUGCGUAGAGAUCAUGAGGAAGACCAGUGGCGAAGGCGGGUCUCUGGACAGGUCCUGACACUGAGACACGAAGGCCAGGGGAGCAAACGGG